UCCUGCACAAUUUACUUGAGCGGAUCAGUGUGAAGAUUCAUGCCAAAAUCAAAGCACGGCAAGCUGGUAAAACUGGUACGUCUCGCCGCCGGACUGGUUUUCAUAGGAGAGUCAUUGAGAGAGAUCACGGAGAGGGUCAUCAACGGCUUGUCACUGAUUUCUUUUCUGAAGAUCCAGUCUAUGAUGAAAAGGUAUUCAGAACAAGGUACCGGAUGAGUAGACCCCUCUUUCUACGUAUUGUCCGUGCGCUAGGUGAGUGGUCCCCCUAUUUCACCAAGAGGACUGAUAUCUGCUAUCGCCAAGGGCUGUCACCUCUGCAGAAAUGCACAGCGGCAAUUCGUAUGUUAGCACGUGGCUGCGCGGCAGAUGCUGUGGACGAAUAUUUGCAGAUUGGUACGAGCACAGCAAUGGAGUGUUUGGAGCGGUUUGCAGAAGGAGUGAUUGACAAGUUUGGCGGAGAAUACUUGUGAGGCCCUACUAGUGCUGAUAUGCAGCACCUACUACAAAUUGGUGAAGGCCUUGGCUUCCCUGGCAUGUUGGGAAGCAUUGGUUGCAUGCACUGGGAGUGGGAAAAUUGCCCUCCUAAAUGGAUGCGUCGUCUUAAUCAUAGUGAUCACGGCUUUGCCACAUUUAUUCUUGAAGCUGUUGCUUCACAAGAUCUCUGGAUAUGGCAUGCUUCUUUCAAUGCUGUUGGCUCCAUCAAUGACAUCAGUGUUCUCAAUCAAUCACCGUCGUUUACUCUAAGUCUUGAAAGGACAAGCUCCCCCGGUGCAAUUCUCCAUCAAUAAGAGUCAAUACAAUAUGGGAUACUACCUUGCUGAUGAAAUUUACCCAGAAUGCACUGUAUUUGUUAAGACAAUACCCUUCCCUCGAACUGAAAAGGAACGAUUGUUUGCUAAACAUCAAGAAGAGGCAACGAAGGAUGUUCAGCGCGCAUUUGGAGUCCUGCAAUCUCGUUUCCCCAUUGUUCGUGGUCCAAUUCGCUUUUUCCAACGAGCAACUCCUGGGAAAAUCCUGCAAGCUUGUGUCAUACUCCAUAACAUGGCAGUUCAGGAUGAGAAAGACAUGGCAAGUACUUGUUCUGAACCAAAUGAAGCUUCAGGUAUAACAGCUGUUUUACCAUCAAACAUCAAAACUGGGCCUGCCAAUUGCUUAACUAAUGUACUCCAGAGAAGUGCCCCUGUUUGUAGUCAAGCAACACAUGGCCAGCUAAGAAGGGAUUUAACUGAGCAUAUCUGGCAGCAGUUUGGGCCAUUUGGCGACAAGUAAAAAAGAUCUAGUAUUAGUGUACGAAGUCAUGUCGCUUGGUGGGUCACUGGCUAUAAUUAGCUGUAUAAACGGCCUUUUUUGAGGGGAAAAAAAGGCUGAUUGGCAGGAUACAAUCGUAGAGAGACUUUUGAAUUGUGAGGUACCAUUACGAGCUCAAUAUAUACGAGUGUUAUUCUGUUCGUUGAAAUUGUUCGUUUGGAAGUUUCCCGAAAAGCUAAUUAUAGGUUGUUCUCUCCAUCGGAACAAUAGGGCCGUUAUGCUUAUUACUAAACUUGUUGAAGAGAUGAAAUAGAACCAAGGUCUAUCUUUUUGACUCCAAUCGGAACUUCUCUUGACCCAACGACACGUUGAUCUAGUUUCCAUCGGAGCCACAAGGGACUGUUUAAACUGAUUCGUUUCUGUCUAUAAGCUCCCAGUGCAUCAUAGGAACUAGAAGUGGGAGAGAGGGGAUGUGAUGAUUGAGGUUUUGAAUAAGACGGAUUUUCGCGAGAGAACCAAAUCCAAGUUGGUGAAGAUCAUGAUUUGGGCUGGCAUAGUAGUUAUUACCUUUGCAAUUGCGGUUCGAGUCUAUCCCAUCUUUAUCUUUUUGCUCAAAGAACGAAUAAAACCCCUUGUUGAAGCCCUUUAUGAUAAGCUUUCCUGGAUCUGGGAAGUUUCUCUUUCACGGUAUUGGGUUGUGGGUUUUUUUCUACAAAUGGCGGCUUUCCCUUCACCGCCCCCAUGGGGGUGGUCCACAGGGUUCAUAACUGCUAGCCCUUAGGGUGCGUAUUGUUUGUUGACUAUAACUAAUGAACCCAGCUAGCAUAGGGAACAUAUACUUUGUAUUGACUAAAAUAUAUACUUUGACUUUCAUGUGCUAGAACUUUAGCUCGUAAACAUAAAAGUAGGGUACGAACUUUUAUGCAACGAUUGGGUUCGGUAUUUUUAGAAGAAUUUUUGAGACGUGGCAUCUGACUGAACUAUCAAUUCUGCCACUGGAAAUUGGGUGGAAAAAACAAAUGUCUUAUUUUUUCUGUAAGAGAUAGCCUUAUUCUUCAAAGGAAUCUUCAAUCUGCACAAGGAACCCUGUACCCUUGCUGUAGUCUAUUCUAUAAAGAUUUCACUAAAGCAUCAUGCUUCUGAAGUAAAGGAUCCUAUUCUUCUCCUAGCUGAUUAGCCCGCCAUACCUGAGUUAUCUGGUACAACUGAACAUUGGGAUAAGCCUGAAGGGUACAGGUCUGAUUUUGUUCUCUUCUAGCUAGACACCAAAAUUAUGCAUGAUAUUUUGUUAGAACU